rnacentral:misc_RNA from 1 species
CUUCUGUUCAACUUCCCUCCUGAUCAGGUCACAAGUUCCGGAGCUCCAUUUUGGUCUGGUCCAAAAAGAUGUCCGCAUCCACUGGAGUUUGAUGUAAAUAAUACCACCCAUUUCGACUAUGUUAUGUCUGUAGCUAAUCUCAGGGCUCAAAUGUAUGGCAUCAAACAAGUUCGGGAUCCAAAGGCUAUCUGUGAUAUGGUGUCAAAGGUCAAAGUUCCCGAGUUUAAACCUAGGUCAGGGAUAAAGAUUGAAGUGACUGAUGCUGAAAUGGAAAGAAACCAAGGAAACCUAGAUGUUGAUGCUGUGGAAAAUCUACAAAAGGACUUGCCCCCUGUGGAGAAAGUAAAGGCCAUGAAAUUAGUUCCUAUCGAGUUUGAGAAAGAUGAUGAUACUAAUUUCCACAUGGACUUUAUUGUGGCUGCUUCCAAUUUGAGAGCCGAGAACUAUGACAUUCCACCAGCAGAUCGACACAAGAGUAAGUUGAUUGCUGGAAAGAUCAUCCCAGCCAUUGCUACCACCACAGCACUCAUCACAGGCCUAGUGGCUGUAGAACUCAUCAAGCUUGUACAAGGACAUAAUAAAUUAGAAAGCUACAAGAAUGGAUUUGUAAAUCUGGCCUUGCCCUUCUUUGCUUUCUCAGAACCAAUUGCAGCACCCAAGAACAAGUAUUAUGACACUUACUUCACAUUAUGGGACCGAUUUGAAGUUCAAGGAGAGAUGACCCUACAGGAAUUUUUAGAUUAUUUUCAGAAAGAAUACAAGCUGGAGAUCACCAUGUUAUCACAGGGCGUGUCCAUGUUGUAUUCAUUCUUCAUGCCCCCCGCCAAACGACAGGAGCGACUGGGACUACCAUUAUCAGAAGUAGUGAAAAGAGUCUCCAAGAAGAAGAUUCCUAGUCACGUAAAAGCUUUAGUGCUGGAGCUGUGCUGUAACGAUACGGAGGGAGAGGAUGUAGAAGUUCCGUACGUUAAAUACAAUCUACCACAGUCGUAAUGUAAACACUGCCCUAGAGACCGCAAUAGGUAUCCCCACGAGUGGUGACCAGACACUAGACAUUCUCAUAUUGAGAGACUUAUCAACAAACAGUCGGACAAACGGAUGACUGAUGCACAGUCAGUGAAGUGCAAUGAACAUAAUUACAAAGAUUUUUCUUCUUUUUGACUGUUGUAUAUUUGUAUUUCUCAAUGAUGUAAUAUUAACUUGUGGACUUGUGUAAAGGAAAACAAAGAAAACAAUAAUUUGAUUGUCUUACUAUAGUAUUCUCUGUACACAGACAGGUUUGGUAGUGUGCAUAAUAAUUUAUUCUGUCUUUAUGAAACUUUAAAAAAAAAAAAUAAAUGAAUAGAAUCAUAAAAGUUU